UACGUAGGGUGCAAGCGUUAAUCGGAAUUACUGGGCGUAAAGCGUGCGCAGGCGGUUUUGUAAGUUUGUCGUGAAAUCCCCGGGCUCAACCUGGGAAUGGCGAUGAAGACUGCAAGGCUAGAAUCUGGCAGAGGGGGGUAGAAUUCCACGUGUAGCAGUGAAAUGCGUAGAGAUGUGGAGGAACACCGAUGGCGAAGGGCAGCCCCCUGGGUCAAGAUUGACGCUGCAUGACACGAAGCGUGGGAGCAAACAGGAUUACGAA
rnacentral:rRNA from 1 species